CAUAGGUUAAUGAGGCGAACCGGGGGAACUGAAACAUCUAAGUACCCCGAGGAAAAGAAAUCAACCGAGAUUCCCCCAGUAGCGGCGAGCGAACGGGGAGCAGCCCAGAGCCUGAAUCAGUGUGUGUGUUAGUGGAAGCGUCUGGAAAGGCGCGCGAUACAGGGUGACAGCCCCGUACACAAAAAUGCACAUACUGUGAGCUCGAUGAGUAGGGCGGGACACGUGGUAUCCUGUCUGAAUAUGGGGGGACCAUCCUCCAAGGCUAAAUACUCCUGACUGACCGAUAGUGAACCAGUACCGUGAGGGAAAGGCGAAAAGAACCCCGGCGAGGGGAGUGAAAAAGAACCUGAAACCGUGUACGUACAAGCAGUGGGAGCACGCUUAGGCGUGUGACUGCGUACCUUUUGUAUAAUGGGUCAGCGACUUAUAUUCUGUAGCAAGGUUAACCGAAUAGGGGAGCCGAAGGGAAACCGAGUCUUAACUGGGCGUUAAGUUGCAGGGUAUAGACCCGAAACCCGGUGAUCUAGCCAUGGGCAGGUUGAAGGUUGGGUAACACUAACUGGAGGACCGAACCGACUAAUGUUGAAAAAUUAGCGGAUGACUUGUGGCUGGGGGUGAAAGGCCAAUCAAACCGGGAGAUAGCUGGUUCUCCCCGAAAGCUAUUUAGGUAGCGCCUCGUGAAUUCAUCUCCGGGGGUAGAGCACUGUUUCGGCAAGGGGGUCAUCCCGACUUACCAACCCGAUGCAAACUGCGAAUACCGGAGAAUGUUAUCACGGGAGACACACGGCGGGUGCUAACGUCCGUCGUGAAGAGGGAAACAACCCAGACCGCCAGCUAAGGUCCCAAAGUCAUGGUUAAGUGGGAAACGAUGUGGGAAGGCCCAGACAGCCAGGAUGUUGGCUUAGAAGCAGCCAUCAUUUAAAGAAAGCGUAAUAGCUCACUGGUCGAGUCGGCCUGCGCGGAAGAUGUAACGGGGCUAAACCAUGCACCGAAGCUGCGGCAGCGACGCUGAUGCGUUGUUGGGUAGGGGAGCGUUCUGUAAGCCUGUGAAGGUGUGCUGUGAGGCAUGCUGGAGGUAUCAGAAGUGCGAAUGCUGACAUAAGUAACGAUAAAGCGGGUG
rnacentral:rRNA from 1 species